UUAUUUCUAGGUGGUUUAACCUCUUUUCUAACAUCCUUUUUGAUUUCUUCACUUGUUUUAGGAUUAUCAAUACCACGUUUUUCUAGUGCUUUCCUAAGUUCUAUGUUCUCUGUUUUCAAAGAACUACAAGAAGAGCAAUUUGAACAUUGAUCAAUUGAAGAGACUUCAUUCAAUUCCUUGAUCUUAUUUUUAAAAACAACAUUGUCAUUUUCCAAAAAUUUGUUUUCUUUUUGAGCAAUUUGAACAUUGAUCAAUUGAAGAGGCUUCAUUCAAUUCCUUGAUCUUAUUUUUAAUAUCAACAUUGUCAUUUUCCAAAAAUUUGUUUUCUUUUUCUAAAGCUUCAAUUUAAUUUUUAAGAGCACUAAUGUCAUUAGUCAAUUUUUCAAAAUCUAUUUCUU
rnacentral:lncRNA from 1 species